UUAUGCAGGGUUUAUGUGACUGGACCGAGGUCGAAUACUGCUGGAAAUUGAUGAUUAUUACUCGGGGAAACAACAGGAAACAGGGUGGUACUGAAACUGAAUGCAGGGAUGAUUUGUGAGCUUGAAUGAUUAGAAAUGUGUAGGUUGCCGUCAUAAUUGUUAACUGCCAAAUGAACCGAACUGCCUAGCAUAGCAGGGACUGUUUUUUGGCUUUAUGAAUGACAUGGGAAAGACUUUGGGAUGAAUAACUCAAGAUGGAAUCAUGGAGAUCUUUAUAGUAAAGCAAAAGGCGAAGUCAGGGUGAAGCUGAAUGAAGACAUAGAAAACUAGAGGGUAUAGGUUCUCCUGUAGAUCUUUUUUUGUAUUAUUUUUGUAAUGGAGUUUGAAUGAUAAUGGA